rnacentral:rRNA from 1 species
AACGAACGCUGGCGGCAGGCCUAACACAUGCAAGUCGAACGCUCCGCAAGGGGAGUGGCGCACGGGUGAGUAACACGUGGGAACCUACCUUCUGGUACGGAACAACCAAGGGAAACUUUGGCUAAGACCGUAUACGACCUCCGGGUGAAAGAUUGAUCGCCGGAAGAGGGGCCCGCGUCCGAUUAGGUAGUUGGUGAGGUAACGGCUCACCAAGCCUUCGAUCGGUAGCUGGUCUGAGAGGAUGACCAGCCACACUGGGACUGAGACACGGCCCAGACCU